CCUACGGGCGACAGCAGUAGGGAAUAUUGCACAAUGGGGGAAACCCUGAUGCAGCGACGCCGCGUGAGCGAUGAAGUAUUUCGGUAUGUAAACCUCUAUCAGCAGGGAAGAAGGUGACGUUACCUGACUAAGAAGCCCCGGCUAACUACGUACCAGCAGCCGCGGUAAUACGUAGGGGGCAAGCGUUAUCCGGAUUUACUGGGUGUAAAGGGAGCGUAGACGGCGAUGCAAGCCAGAUGUGAAAGCCCGGGGCUCAACCCCGGGACUGCAUUUGGAACUGUGUGGCUGGAGUGUCGGAGAGGCAGGCGGAAUUCCUAGUGUAGCGGUGAAAUGCGUAGAUAUUAGGAGGAACACCAGUGGCGAAGGCGGCCUGCUGGACGAUGACUGACGUUGAGGCGCGAAAGCGUGGGGAGCAAACAGGAUUAGAUACCCGAGUAGUC
rnacentral:rRNA from 1 species